rnacentral:rRNA from 1 species
UACGGGAGUGGCAAGCGUUAUCCGGAAUUAUUGGGCGUAAAGCGUCCGCAGGCGGUCUUGUAAGUCUGUCGUUAAAGCGUGGAGCUUAACUCCAUUUAAGCGAUGGAAACUGCAAUACUAGAGUGUGGUAGGGGCAGAGGGAAUUCCCGGUGUAGCGGUGAAAUGCGUAGAUAUCGGGAAGAACACCAGUGGCGAAGGCGCUCUGCUGGGCCAUAACUGACGCUCAUGGACGAAAGCCAGGGGAGCGAAAGGGAUUAGAUACCCCUGUAGUCCUGGCCGUAAACGAUGAACACUAGGUGUCGGGGGAAUCGACCCCCUCGGUGUCGUAGCCAACGCGUUAAGUGUUCCGCCUGGGGAGUACGCACGCAAGUGUGAAACUCAAAGGAAUUGACGGGGGCCCGCACAAGCGGUGGAGUAUGUGGUUUAAUUCGAUGCAACGCGAAGAACCUUACCGGGGUUUGACAUCCUGCGAAUCCCUUGGAAACGAGGGAGUGCCUUCGGGAACGCAGUGACAGGUGGUGCAUGGCUGUCGUCAGCUCGUGUCGUGAGAUGUUGGGUUAAGUCCCGCAACGAGCGCAACCCACGUCGUUAGUUGCCAGCAUUCAGUUGGGCACUCUAGCGAGACCGCCGGUGAUAAACCGGAGGAAGGUGUGGAUGACGUCAAGUCAUCAUGCCCCUUACAUCCUGGGCUACACACGUACUACAAUGCUACGGACAAAGGGCAGCAAACUCGCGAGAGCUAGCAAAUCCCAUAAACCGUGGCUCAGUUCAGAUCGUAGGCUGCAACUCGCCUACGUGAAGGAGGAAUCGCUAGUAAUCGCAGGUCAGCAUACUGCGGUGAAUACGUUCCCGGGCCU